CUGCAGGAAAAAUGGUGAGUGUGAAAUGUGGAAAAUCCUGAAAAUUGAUGAAUAACAGUACCUUGCGAUGGGAACAUCUGGUGAACUGCACUUCAGACAGGAAAAGAAAACAAAUGUUCAUUAGAGGAAAGAAUCUAAUAGUCACCACAUUAGCAAGGAGAUACGAGACACCAGAGAGCACCAGCC